AUACGUAGGUGGCAAGCGUUGUCCGGAAUUACUGGGCGUAAAGGAUGCGUAGGCGGCCUCUUAAGUGGGAUGUGAAAUCCCGGGGCUUAACCCCGGAGCUGCAUUCCAUACUGGGAGGCUAGAGUGCAGGAGAGGAAAGCGGAAUUCCCAGUGUAGCGGUGAAAUGCGUAGAGAUUGGGAGGAACACCAGUGGCGAAGGCGGCUUUCUGGACUGUAACUGACGCUGAGGCAUGAAAGUGUGGGGAGCAAACAGGAUUAGAUACCCUGGUAGUCCACACCGUAAACGAUGGGCACUAGGUGUAGGGGGCGUAGCCCUCUGUGCCGCAGUUAACACAUUAAGUGCCCCGCCUGGGGAGUACGAUCGCAAGAUUAAA
rnacentral:rRNA from 1 species